UACGGAGGAGGCAAGCGUUAUCCGGAAUUAUUGGGCGUAAAGCGUCCGCAGGUGGCUCGUCAAGUCUGCGGUCAAAAACCGAGGCUUAACUUCGGCAAGGCCGUGGAAACUGAAGAGCUAGAGAGCCGUAGGGGUAGAGGGAAUUCCCGGUGUAGCGGUGAAAUGCGUAGAUAUCAAGAGGAACACCUGCGGCGAAGGCGGGUUGCUGGACCGGUACUGACGCUGAUGCGCGAAAGCGUGGGGAGCAAACGGG
rnacentral:rRNA from 1 species